GUUCAGUUAAUAAGCAGAUGGUUUCUGAAACGAACAGUUUUUUGAGAAAAAAAAAAUAUUGCAUCAUUUGAGUUUUUAAAGCGUGAACUGAUAUAAAAGACUAUUGUUUGCCAUGUUCUUCGAUCCAUUGUUAAGCAGAUAACGUUGUUCUUUAACCAAGAUGGAAGAUUGAAACGAGCUUCCUGUUGCAUGCUAGUUUUGUGCUUCUCUAAUAAUUCAGAAAGUUGCUGUCAACAUAUCAUUUUUUCCAAACAAUUAAAACGUAAAUACAAAGGUUAAAUAUAAUUAUAUAUAUAACAUAAUAUAAGCAAGGAUGAAAGGUUAUUUAAGAUCAACGAGGUACGAAAAACUUUGUUGCAAGGGGGUGAAUGAACGUUAUCGUGCAACAAAAGUCGCUCUGGGUGAAAGUCGACACAACCGCAAUACGGUCUGGUAUAGAAUAUGGAUGAAGCUAUUUUUGCCUUUUAAAGUGUUGCCAGUUGUUUAUUUUGCUGAUUUAUGCCGAUACAUCAAUAAAUGUAAACACAGCCGGUCCAACUAUGAGCUAAUGUAAAUUUGAAUUAUAAUCACG
rnacentral:lncRNA from 1 species